GAUGAACGCUGGCGGCGUGCCUAAUACAUGCAAGUCGAGCGAACAGAUAAGGAGCUUGCUCCUUUGACGUUAGCGGCGGACGGGUGAGUAACACGUGGGUAACCUACCUAUAAGACUGGGAUAACUUCGGGAAACCGGAGCUAAUACCGGAUAACAUUUGGAACCGCAUGGUUCUAAAGUGAAAGAUGGUUUUGCUAUCACUUAUAGAUGGACCCGCGCCGUAUUAGCUAGUUGGUAAGGUAACGGCUUACCUAGGCAACGAUACGUAGCCGACCUGAGAGGGUGAUCGGCCACACUGGAACUGAGACACGGUCCAGACUCCUACGGGAGGCAGCAGUAGGGAAUCUUCCGCAAUGGGCGAAAGCCUGACGGAGCAACGCCGCGUGAGUGAUGAAGGGUUUCGGCUCGUAAAACUCUGUUAUUAGGGAAGAACAAAUGUGUAAGUAACUGUGCACGUCUUGACGGAACCUAAUCAGAAAGCCACGGCUAACUACGUG
rnacentral:rRNA from 1 species